rnacentral:rRNA from 1 species
GACGAACGCUGGCGGCGUGCCUAACACAUGCAAGUCGAGCGGAGACAUUAAGGAGCUUGCUCUGAGAUGUUUUAGCGGCGGACGGGUGAGUAACGCGUGAGCAACCUUUCUCUCAGUGGGGGAUAACAUCCGGAAACGGGUGCUAAUGCCGCAUAGUUUCUUUUUCCGCCUGGAAGAAGAAGGAAAGAUGGCCUUUGCGCUAUCACUGAGGGAUGGACCCGCGGCGUAUUAGUUAGUUGGUGGGGUAAUGGCCUACCAAGACGAUGAUACGUAGCCGACCUGAGGAGGGUGAUCGGCCACAGUUGGGACUGAGACGACGGACCCAA